GCUUCCACGGAGGCCUCCGUGUAGGCCGCAGUGAAGCCUGAACUCGAGUAGGGCCCAAGCAAGCCAGGAAGGAGGAGGCAGCCAGAGUGUUCUCUGCAGCAGAAGAUCCCUUGCUGCCCUGCUUAACCCAGACCAGCAUUUGCCAGGUCCUUAUUUCUUUCAACAUUAUGGUUGCUUCGGGAUCUGUCAUUCCCAAGCACUGGCUAUCAGCAGAGAGUGUACAAAAGCUCCCCCAGUGAUGUUUGUUUAUUUGUUAAAAAGAGAGAGGAGGAAAUCUUUAGAAGAGAACUUGGUCAUCGGUUUGGCUGGCUCCACCAGAACAAAGGCUGUGGCUUGAUUGAAAAUUCUCGUCUCCCCAAAGGAUCCGGUCUGGCAGCUUUCAGAUGAAAGGAGCUCUGCCUUCAUCUCAAUCUGCUUGACCCUCCACUCUGACAAAACCAGGCAGCACUUCUGGGGUGUUUUGAUUUUGCUCACUUUGGAAAUAAGGCUGCAGAACGGAAAGAUACAUUUUCUGCAACCAGCCCUCCUAGCAGUGGAAAGCACGUCUCAUUAAGUAUUUGUUGUAAUGGAAUGUGUGAGCAAGGGUGGAGAAUUAUGCCUCAGGGAUGGAAGAAUACUCCUUGGAAAGAAAUCUGCUGUGGAACAGAGUGCCCUGAACUCUCGUCGUGGGCUAGAAACUCUAGGCCCCAUUCAGACACAGCGUGAAACUUCAGUGUUGUAAACCACCUGGAGCCAUUUUAGAAGAGUGGUAUAUACAUCUAACAAACAAACAAACAAAUAAAUAAAUAAAUAAAUUGC